rnacentral:rRNA from 1 species
CAGCAGCCGCGGGAAUACGUAGGGUGCAAGCGUUGUCCGGAAUUAUUGGGCGUAAAGAGCUCGUAGGCGGUUUGUCGCGUCUGCUGUGAAAUCCCGAGGCUCAACCUCGGGCUUGCAGUGGGUACGGGCAGACUAGAGUGCGGUAGGGGAGAUUGGAAUUCCUGGUGUAGCGGUGGAAUGCGCAGAUAUCAGGAGGAACACCGAUGGCGAAGGCAGAUCUCUGGGCCGUAACUGACGCUGAGGAGCGAAAGCGUGGGGAGCGAACAGGAUUAGAUACCCCCGUAGUCCCUGUCUCUUAUAA